rnacentral:rRNA from 1 species
UACGUAGGGGGCAAGCGUUGUCCGGAUUUACUGGGCGUAAAGAGCGUGUAGGCGGUCACGCAGGUCCGCUGUGAAAACUGGAGGCUCAACCUCCAGCUGUCGACGGAAACCGUAUGGCUAGAGUCCGGAAGAGGAGAGUGGAAUUCCUGGUGUAGCGGUGAAAUGCGCAGAUAUCAGGAAGAACACCAAUGGCGAAGGCGGCCUGCUGGGCAGUGGCUGACGCUGAGGCGCGACAGCGUGGGGAGCAAACAGG